AUUGAACGCUGGCGGCAGGCCUAACACAUGCAAGUCGAGCGGAUGAAGGGAGCUUGCUCCUGGAUUCAGCGGCGGACGGGUGAGUAAUGCCUAGGAAUCUGCCUGGUAGUGGGGGAUAACGUCCGGAAACGGGCGCUAAUACCGCAUACGUCCUGAGGGAGAAAGUGGGGGAUCUUCGGACCUCACGCUAUCAGAUGAGCCUAGGUCGGAUUAGCUAGUUGGUGGGGUAAAGGCCUACCAAGGCGACGAUCCGUAACUGGUCUGAGAGGAUGAUCAGUCACAUUGGAAUGAGAAAACGGCCCAGACCCCAACGGGGGGCAGAGGUGGGGAAUAUGGGACAAUGGGCAAAAGCCUGAUCCAGCCAUGCCGGGUGGGGGAAGAAGGGUUUCGGAUUGUAAAGCACUUUAAGUUGGGAGGAAGGGCAGUAAGUUAAUACCUUGCUGUUUUGACGUUACCAACAGAAAAAGCACCGGCUAACUUCGU
rnacentral:rRNA from 1 species